GAUGAACGCUGGCGGCGUGCCUAAUACAUGCAAGUCGAGCGAACAGACGAGGAGCUUGCUCCUCUGACGUUAGCGGCGGACGGGUGAGUAACACGUGGAUAACCUACCUAUAUGACUGGGAUAAUUUCGGGAAACCGGAGCUAAUACUGGAUAACAUGUUGAACCGCAUGGUUCAACAGUGAAAGACGGUCUUGCUGUCACUUAUAGAUGGAUCCGCGCCGCAUUAGCUAGUUGGUAAGGUAACGGCUUACCAAGGCAACGAUGCGUAGCCGACCUGAGAGGGUGAUCGGCCACACUGGAACUGAGACACGGUCCAGACUCCUACGGGAGGCAGCAGUAGGGAAUCUUCCGCAAUGGGCGAAAGCCUGACGGAGCAACGCCGCGUGAGUGAAGAAGGUCUUCGGAUCGUAAAACUCUGUUAUUAGGGAAGAACAAAUGUGUAAGUAACUAUGCACGUCUUGACGGUACCUAAUCAGAAAGCCACGGCUAACUACGUG
rnacentral:rRNA from 1 species